rnacentral:lncRNA from 1 species
CCCCAAAAGGGGUCAUAACUGGCCACCAAUGGCAAUGGCAUUGGCCAUUGUUUUGAUUUCAACUAGUGUGGUUUCUGCUGCUGCAGAUAGUUAUAUUUACUCUUCUCCUCCACCACCUUACGAGUAUAAGUCGCCACCGCCACCAUCACCUUCACCACCACCUCCUUAUGUUUACAAAUCGCCACCUCCUCCAUCCCCAUCACCUCCACCACCUUAUGAGCACAAGGCUCCUGCUUAUGAGUACAAGUCACCACCACCACCAACUCCUUCACCACCACCUCCUUAUGUGUACAAGUCACCACCACCGCCAUCUCCUUCACCACCACCUCCUUAUGUGUACAAGUCACCACCACCACCCUCACCUUCCCCACCACCACCAUACUACUACAAGAGUCCUCCACCACCUUCUCCUUCACCUCCACCUCCUUACUACUACAAAUCUCCUCCACCACCCUCACCUUCCCCACCACCACCAUACUAUUACAAGUCUCCUCCACCACCAUCUCCCUCACCUCCACCACCAUAUUACUACAAGUCUCCCCCACCACCCUCACCCUCCCCUCCACCCCCAUAUAUACACAAGGAUCCACCAUACUAUUACAAGUCCCCACCACCACCUUCACCAUCUCCUCCACCACCAUACUACUACAAAUCUCCCCCACCCCCUUCACCGUCUCCUCCACCACCAUACUACUACAAAUCUCCUCCUCCUCCAUCUCCUAUUCCCAAAACACCUUACUACUACAAAUCUCCCCCACCCCCUUCACCAUCUCCUCCACCACCAUACUACUACAAAUCUCCCCCACCCCCUUCACCGUCUCCUCCACCACCAUACUACUAUAAAUCUCCCCCACCACCGUCACCCUCUCCACCACCACCUUACUAUUACAAGUCUCCUCCCCCACCUUCACCAUCUCCUCCACCACCAUACUACUACAAAUCUCCUCCUCCUCCAUCUCCUAUUCCCCAUACACCUUACUAUUACAAAUCUCCCCCACCACCUUCACCAUCUCCUCCACCACCAUACUACUACAAAUCUCCUCCUCCUCCAUCUCCUAUUCCCCGUACACCUUACUAUUACAAAUCUCCCCCACCACCUUCACCAUCUCCUCCACCACCAUACUACUACAAAUCCCCUCCUCAUCCAUCUCCCAUUCCCCAUACACCUUACUAUUACACAUCUCCCCCACCACCUUCACCGUCUCCUCCACCACCAUAUUACUACAAAUCUCCUCCCCCUCCGUCUCCUAUUCCCCACACACCUUACUACUACAAGUCCCCACCACCACCAAAGGUCCUUCCACCACCAUACUAUUACAAUUCUCCUCCUCCACCUGUUGUGUAUCCUCACCCAUAUCCCUACCACCACUCACUUAUUGUGAGGGUAGUCGGUAAAGUCUACAGCUUCAGAUGUUAUGAUUGGAAUUAUCCUGCAAAGUCUCAUAACAAGAAACAUCUCAAAGGUACAUUACAUUUCUUAGGACCGGACCUCUUUAGAGUAAUGUGUUUAGAGAUAAUGCACAAUUUUUUAUUUUUUUAUCUCGUAAAGGUUUAUUUAUUAUAAUCACAAUUUCACUUUUGUCAAAAAGAAAAACAAUUUUACUAUAUAUAGUUUUAAUCAUUAACAUUUUGAUGUAAAAAGAAUACAAUUCUCUAUUACCUUUUUACUAUGAUAUAUAUACAAAGAUUAUUCAAAUCUAUAUAUCCAACCUAAUUUCCAUCCAAAAAAAUAGAAAACAUAGGGUGCUUUGAACGCCUGCAGCAUCACAUGAAUAAAUAAAAACAAUCAAUAAUCAACCUUGUUCUAAUUUAUUUUAGACAGCGAUUGUUAAGCAUACUGCUCUUUUAAUUACAUUUUUUUUAAAGAUGCUCUUUUAAUUAUAUUGUCCUAAUAUAAUAUGUGUCUUUAUAUAUUACUUGUCGUAAACUAAUUUUAUUAUGGGUGCAGGAGCUGUUGUUGAGGUGACAUGCAAAGCCGGGAGCAAAAUUGUCAAGGCUUAUGGAAAAACUAAGAACAAUGGAAAGUAUGCCAUCACAGUUAAGGACUUUGACUAUGUCAAAUAUGGUUCGACAGUGUGCAAGGCUGCCCUAUAUGCUCCACCUAAGGGUUCACCCUUCAACAUACCUACAAAGCUAAAUCAAGGAACAAAGUUGUACUUGAAAUCCAAAGACAAGUACGAGGUUGUGCUCAAGGCUAAGCCAUUUGCUUAUGCUUCAAAGAAACAUUUCAAAGAAUGUGAGAAGCCUAAGCCUUCACCAACUCCUUACUACUACAAAUCACCUCCACCUCCCUCACCAGUUUACAAAUACAACUCACCACCUCCACCGGUCCAUUAUUAUUCACCUCCAUACACCUACAAGUCACCUCCUCCCCCUGUGAAAGCGGCACCAACUCCUUACUACUACAAAUCACCUCCACCACCCGCACCGGUUUACAAGUACAACUCACCCCCUCCACCGGUCCAUUAUUAUUCACCACCAUAUACCUAUAAGUCACCUCCUCCCCCUGUGAAAGCGGCACCAACUCCUUACUACUACAAAUCACCUCCACCUCCCGCACCGGUUUACAAGUACAACUCCCCACCUCCACCGGUCCAUUAUUAUUCACCUCCAUAUACCUACAAGUCACCUCCUCCCCCUGUGAAAGUGGCACCAACUCCUUACUACUACAAAUCACCUCCACCACCCGCACCGGUUUACAAGUACAACUCACCACCUCCACCGGUCCAUUAUUAUUCUCCACCAUACUACUACAAGUCACCACCCCCACCAUCUCCAUCACCUCCUCCACCAUACUAUUUCAAAUACUAUUACAAGUCCCCACCUCCACCAUCACCAUCCCCUCCUCCACCUUAUUAUUACAAAUCUCCUCCUCCACCAAAACAAAUUUCACACCCUCCAUACUACUAUAAGUCACCACCCCCACCAUCACCAUCACCUCCUCCACCAUACUAUUAUAAGUCUCCACCUCCACCAUCACCAUCUCCCCCACCACCUUAUUAUUAUAAGUCACCACCCCCACCAUCCCCGUCCCCUCCUCCACCAUACUACUACAAGUCUCCACCUCCACCUAAAGAAAUAUCACAUCCUCCAUAUAACUAUAAGUCACCACCCCCACCAUCACCAUCCCCUCCCCCUCCAUACUAUUACAAAUCUCCUCCACCACCAUCACCAUCACCACCACCUCCCUACUAUUACAAAUCACCUCCACCACCAUCACCAUCACCUCCCCCUCCAUACUAUUACAAAUCUCCUCCACCACCAUCACCAUCACCACCACCUCCUUACUAUUACAAAUCACCUCCACCACCAUCCCCAUCACCACCACCUCCAUACUACUACAAAAGUCCCCCUCCACCAUCUCCAUCUCCUCCAUCCCCAUAUUACUACAAAUCUCCACCACCACCAUCACCAUCCCCACCCCCUCCCUACUAUUACAAAUCACCUCCACCUCCCUCACCAUCACCGCCACCUCCUUACUAUUACAAAUCACCUCCACCUCCCUCACCAUCACCGCCACCUCCUUACUAUUACAAAUCUCCCCCACCUCCAUCUCCAUCUCCACCACCUCCUUACCACUAUCAAAGUCCUCCUCCACCAUCUCCCAUUUCUCAUCCUCCCUACUACUACAAAUCCCCUCCACCACCAUCGCCGUCUCCUCCACCUCCUUACCACUAUGUGAGUCCUCCCCCACCAGUAAAGUCACCUCCACCACCAACUUAUAUCUAUGCUUCACCACCACCACCUCACUACAACUAAGCUCAAAGAGCAGAAGCUCCGUUCAUUAUAAAUCAUGUAAGUUUAUCAUCUUCAAUUUUCUGAAUGUGUGCGUGUGUAUUUGUUUUUUUGUUACAAGAUACUAACAAAAUUCUUUUCUUAUUUAUGUUCAGGUUUUAGUUUUCAUCUAGGAAUAAAGGCAAGCUCCAUUUGGAGUAAAGUGAAACUUCUAGCUUCGUGUCCGAAUUCGUUAAAUAAAUGUCGGGAUGUAUCGUCUUUGAGCUAUAAUAUUUCUGAUCCAGACAAUAUCUAUUUUGUUUCUUUGGUGGCAAUCUUGCACUUCCUGGUCUUAGUCUAUUCAAGUGACAGACAAAUCAAAAGGGAGAAGCGAGAUUAAUUUAUUUGUGAUCUCUUUGAUUUAUUUGUGCAUAUAUCAAUAUGAACGUGUAUGAUAUUUUUCUAUUUAUUGAAGAUUUUUUUACUGUAACCUGUUAUUGUGUUUGUCAAAAGGUGUUAAUAAAGAAUCACAUUCAAUUUCUGUUAAAUUAUCAGUAUUUGUUUCUUUCUAACAACUACCAUUCAUGCAAAUGUGGCUAUUAAAAAAAGCUCCAAUGACACAUAAAAAGCUUCCAAACAAUAUAUAAACAAAGAUGCAUUGUUUUCUGUUAAGAAGGGGACAGGGUUACGGUUACUUGUGUACCAAGUUAGUUAUCCAUGCUUUCUUGUUCAUAGGAUUUAUAUGGUGUAGUUGCACUUAGUUGCUAAAUGUAUGCAAGCUUUUCCUUUCUAUAAAUAAGCACACCUACUAUCAUUCUUCUCCACAUUCCUUUCUACUCUUCUAUCAUGAAUUGUUCAUCCACAUAAGAUGGUCACAGAGCACACCUAAUACUCUGCUACUGGUGUAUCAGUUCCUUUCCACCAGAAACUUAUGAUCUCUAAUUGAAAGAGAUCCUAAAGUUUUAAGAUUUCUACAAAAUACAUUAUUCUCAUUUUUGUACAAGUAUGAUACAAUUAUUCCCAAGUAUUAUUUAUUCUAAGGAAUAGAAUUUAGUUGUGGUUUCUCUAUUUAACCAACAUUUAUUUUUAAAUAACUAAAUUUAAAAAAAAAAUCCUGAAAUUAUUAAGUACAUACCUAACACAUUGUAAAAUUUUGUUCCCAAAGAAAAUAUUUUUGGCAAUAGAAUUUUCAGGAACUUCAUUCCUAGGAAUAUAAUUCUAUACUAAGAGAAGAGCUUAAGCAUUGAUACAUAACAAGACCAAUCCAUAUCCUAAUCACAAUCCUACUUUCACUAAAUACUUUCACUUAAGUGUGGUCUUGGAAAGGACAAAUGAAGAAAGACAUUCCAGAGGUAUGGUAAGGGACAAUAUCUGCAGUUAUGCACAUAUUGCAAGAUUGUGAGGAACUACCGGACUGAUUUGAUUCACCAAAAAAUUUGGAAUAAAUAUUUCAGCCCAGAACUCAGACAAUGACUGGAUUGGAACCUUUCAGCUUCUAAUAUCGGUACUGUCCAAGGAAAUAGUCAUUCUCUUUUUGGAGUAGCUGUGAAGGAUUUAUGGAAAGAUAGAACUAAGCUGGUCUUUUCUAGAAACACCGCGAUUGGAACUACUCUAUUUUGGCUUGUAGCCAAUCCGGCUAAGUUUAUUAACAAUGUAGUUUGUACUCAAGCUCACAGUCACGAUGUUGUCAGCAACAGUGGGCAUAUUGUUUAGGUAGCCUGGAAUUUUCCUCCCCAACACUUCUUCAAAGUGAAUAUGAUGGAUCUCUACGGGAUUAUGUUAGUUUCCAGGAUCGAACUCAGAACCUCCUGAUUAUAACUCCUUCAAUGUAUGUCCCUUACCCACGUGGGGCCUCGGCUGUAAUUGUUAACAUGGUAAAAUUUGGCUCUUCCAAUAAUGGUUUUAUCCAAACUCGAGGUUGUUUAUCGUCUCCAACAAUCAGAUUGGAGAAUACUAGUGGUUCAUGCAUUUGAACAAACCAACUGUUGUGCAGAUUUUCUAGUUGAUUUUGUUUUUCCUUUUUUGAGUAUUUUAUUAGCCAAUGAUAUAAGAGGUUGUAGCCUACCUCUUUUGAUUUCUUAAGACAAUCACUUUUGCAUUAGAAAAAAACGACCCUACAUAAAAUUAAUGAUUGAAUUAAGAUAUAACUUCAGUUUGAAAUAUUGUAAAAUUCUAUACCACCAAAAACUGAGAAUUUUAGAACCAUACAGGUUGGUGGAGUGGUCAUCCAGAUAACUUUAACAUAAUUAACAGUCCAAAAAGUAAAUAGCUUUAUCCUUUAUUUUCAAUCUGAUGUGAUUUACUCUUAUCUGUUAAACAUUAUAAUUAAGAAUCCAAAGGGAACACUCACCUAAUCUCUCUCUUUUUUCUAGCUUUUUCACUAAACCACUGUGUCUGUGGUUACCACAUUUCCUUAUGGAAUCAAUAUCCAAUUUAUGUUAAAAACCAUUUCUACAUUUUGUGUUAAAAAUGAUCUAAACAAAGAUGAUUUAUUUCUCUUAAAUUCAACAUAGAUCAUAUUUACAUGGUUCAAACUUUCUAUUACACGGCAUUGACUUAGUUGCUUCACAUGGGGACACAACUAAUGCAUAUAUUAUUUUAUAUGCUUAUAGUAAUUUUAACAAGUGGCAAUGGGGCAUAUGUUUUGUCAAAAAAACACAAAAAACAGGAGGCAUGUGCAACUGAAGUCACUGCCAGCUUGGCACUAAGAUAUAGUAAAAUAAUUGACAUUUGAAGAAAACAAAGACGUUGCUACAUUUCUAUUCAAACAAGCGACAUCAAUAUCAGACAAUGGUGCUACAUUUAAUAAUACUACAGCUAUCCCCAUAAGCACCUCUUAGAAAGAAAAAAAAAUAUCCAUUAAAUUAAUGUUGGAAGAGUUAGCAACAUGUCCUCUCCCAAAAAAACUCAUGUUUGAUUCCUAGAGUCGUCCAUUUCGAAAGAAGCUCAACCCUGAUAAUAAAAACCUAGAUGUUAUGCUGCAGACUUAAAGAUCAAUUUCAUAAUGGAUCCAAAGGGCCUAAGCUGUGUGGGAUACUUAAGGGGGUAUAUUGAGGCUAAGGGUCAAAGAUCUUAAUUAUGGUCGGUUAAAAAAAGAAGAAAAAAAAAUUAUCUCUAAAUAUAAAGUCAACAAUAUUUCAAAUUGCAAGAUACAUUUAUUUAUUUUUUAAAUAUGUAUAUACCUCUUAUUAAUACUUACUAAUUUGUUUUGAGUGAUAAAAAGUUACGAGUUAGACAGAUCAGCACAUAAAAAAAGUAUUUGAAAAACAUCUACCAACAAAAUAAACACAUUAAAAACAAUACUACUUUUUUACAAUACUGUAUGUGAAAAUGACAAAAUCUUGAAAAAGAUGGAGGUAACAUGUACUCUUUUUUUUUUAGAGGGGAGCAUGUACUUUUCCACUAACAAUGUUGAUAAGAAACAUAUAAAAUACUAUUAGAGAAAGAAAAAAAAUAAUAAAUAAAGAAAUAUAUAAAAUACUGAGGAAUGACUCACUCAUGUCAAAUUUUAGCAAGGGAGAAGUGAUAUCACAUCAUUUUAGAAGAGGAAUGAGAAUAGAUAGAUCUAAUUUUUCUAGUAAGUUUGAAUAGUAGAAUCAUACUUCUUUGUCUUUUGUGAAAAUUUCAUAUUAUGGGAUCUAUUACUAGAAUACAGGUGAUUUUAUUCUGGAAGAUUGACUUUUUAUUAAAAUAAAAUAAAAGUACAUUUUUUAUUUCCAAAUGCUUAGUUGUUCAUUUAUAAAUAUUACAUUAUCCAACAGCACCAAACCCUAUUUCAUAACGGUACUCUGCACGUUUCAUUCAUUUACUGGUGCCUUAGUUUUUUGUUACAAACAGACAUUGAUCAGAGGAACAAAUGUAGAGACAAAUUGAAGAUAAUAUAUCACAUAAUAUUGUAGACACACCUUCACAUACAAAUGGGGUAAAGUCCCUCAUAGUAGUAUUAGAAAUAACACUUAGAGUAAAAUUUUGCUAAAUUUAACAUGAAAAUAAGUGUAAUGUAUUUUAUAGGCAGCUAUACAUAAUUAUUAAUUAGAACAAUUUUUUACACUGUCAAACAAAAAUUGAACAAUUUUUUACUAGCUUUAUGCUUUAUGAUGUUUUGAUUCCAUGUGCACAUUUCAAUUUUAGAACUAUUCCUUUCUAUGUUACUGAAAUAAUUCUAUCAUUAGGCAUUGACAUUUCCAUUAUGCGUGCACGUUAAAGUGUUUUCCCAAACAGAGAAAUAUUAAGAAAGGUUAAACUUUUGACUUAAAGACACAACUAAAAUAAGAUCCAAGGAAAACCCCAUUGAUUAUUUCUUGCACAAAAUUAAAAACCCCAUUGAUUAUUUCUUGCACAAAAUUAAAAUGCUAAUAAUUUUUCCUGGUCUAUAUUUUUCUCCUUCCGGGAAAUGGCAACAUCACAUGUUCAUCUCAUAAUUGAGAAAACACAUGUCUGGGAAAAUAUCUUAAAGAAAAGGCAGUAAAGUAAUAAAAAGUGCACCAAAUAGAGAUUAACUAGUACUCUUUGCAUGUCAACUAAGUGGUAUAAUUAUGUAUAUCACAUUCUUAAUAUUGAUUAUCUUGAUUGCACGAUAAGCCCCUCAAAUUGCUCAAUCGAUGAUUGCUUGAUAAGCCCAUCAAAUUGCCCAAUCGAUCGAAUCGUAACUUUCGAUAGACAUUUUUUUUAAGAAAACCCAAUUGGAUCAUAACUCCCCAUAGUCAUUUAUUUGAAAUUGUGAGCAAUUUGAUAACUUAUUGAGCAAUCACCAUUGAUUUUAGUCUCAAUUUAUCCUAAUGUUGUAACCCUGGAAUAAUGGAACAGUGAGUAAAUUUGGUUUCUCCGUCUCAAAAUAAGUGUCACAAUUUAACCAUGUGCACUACUCAUCAAAUCUACUUUGACAACAUUUUUUUUACUAAUAUAUAAAGACAAUGUUAGUACAUUACAUGUUCGAUUUGUCUUAGUUAAUGUUUUUAAAAUAUCGACUUUAUUAUAAUUUUUCUUAAUAGACAAUCAAAAAUAUCAAUUGUCAAAAUUGUGUAUUGAUAUGUAUGAAAAUCAAACUAUAACACUUACUUUGAGACGAAGAGAAUAACUAUUAAAAACUAAUGUUCAAAUAGAAAGAAAAGAAAACAAAGAUUCCAUACAAAGCUUGCAAAAUAGCUACAAUCAUAACCUAGAACAAAAAUCAUGACCACACACUAUAUCCAUUUUCCUUUUCCUAAAAAGCAAUUGAAGAUAAAAAAAAAAAAAAUAAUAAAUAAAAAAAAAAAAAAAAAAAAAAAAAANACCACCAUACUACUACAAAUCCCCACCUCCACCAUCGCCUUCUCCUCCACCACCAUACUACUACAAAUCCCCACCUCCACCAUCGCCUUCUCCUCCACCACCAUACUACUACAAAUCCCCACCUCCACCAUCGCCUUCUCCUCCACCACCAUACUACUACAAAUCCCCACCUCCACCAUCGCCUUCUCCUCCACCACCAUACUACUACAAAUCCCCACCUCCACCAUCGCCUUCUCCUCCACCACCAUACUACUACAAAUCCCCACCUCCACCAUCGCCUUCUCCUCCACCACCAUACUACUACAAAUCCCCACCUCCACCAUCGCCUUCUCCUCCACCACCAUACUACUACAAAUCCCCACCUCCACCAUCGCCUUCUCCUCCACCACCAUACUACUACAAAUCCCCACCUCCACCAUCGCCUUCUCCUCCACCACCAUACUACUACAAAUCCCCACCUCCACCAUCGCCUUCUCCUCCACCACCAUACUACUACAAAUCCCCACCUCCACCAUCGCCUUCUCCUCCACCACCAUACUACUACAAAUCCCCACCUCCACCAUCGCCUUCUCCUCCACCACCAUACUACUACAAAUCCCCACCUCCACCAUCGCCUUCUCCUCCACCACCAUACUACUACAAAUCCCCACCUCCACCAUCGCCUUCUCCUCCACCACCAUACUACUACAAAUCCCCACCUCCACCAUCGCCUUCUCCUCCACCACCAUACUACUACAAAUCCCCACCUCCACCAUCGCCUUCUCCUCCACCACCAUACUACUACAAAUCCCCACCUCCACCAUCGCCUUCUCCUCCACCACCAUACUACUACAAAUCCCCACCUCCACCAUCGCCUUCUCCUCCACCACCAUACUACUACAAAUCCCCACCUCCACCAUCGCCUUCUCCUCCACCACCAUACUACUACAAAUCCCCACCUCCACCAUCGCCUUCUCCUCCACCACCAUACUACUACAAAUCCCCACCUCCACCAUCGCCUUCUCCUCCACCACCAUACUACUACAAAUCCCCACCUCCACCAUCGCCUUCUCCUCCACCACCAUACUACUACAAAUCCCCACCUCCACCAUCGCCUUCUCCUCCACCACCAUACUACUACAAAUCCCCACCUCCACCAUCGCCUUCUCCUCCACCACCAUACUACUACAAAUCCCCACCUCCACCAUCGCCUUCUCCUCCACCACCAUACUACUACAAAUCCCCACCUCCACCAUCGCCUUCUCCUCCACCACCAUACUACUACAAAUCCCCACCUCCACCAUCGCCUUCUCCUCCACCACCAUACUACUACAAAUCCCCACCUCCACCAUCGCCUUCUCCUCCACCACCAUACUACUACAAAUCCCCACCUCCACCAUCGCCUUCUCCUCCCCCACCUUACUAUUACAAAUCCCCACCGCCACCUUCACCAUCUCCCCCACCACCCUACUACUAUAAAUCACCCCCACCACCUUCACCAUCUCCUCCACCACCAUACUACUACAAAUCACCCCCACCGCCAUAUGAACACAAGACUAAACCAUACUAUUACAAGUCUCCUCCACCACCAUAUGAACACAAGACUAAACCAUACUAUUACAAGUCCCCACCACCACCUUCACCAUCUCCUCCACCACCAUACUAUUACAAGUCCCCACCACCACCUUCACCGUCUCCACCCCCACCAUACUACUACAAAUCACCUCCUCCUCCAUCACCUAUUCCCCAUACACCUUACUACUACAAGUCCCCACCACCACCUAAGGUUCUUCCACCACCAUACUAUUACAACUCUCCUCCUCCACCUGUUGUGUAUCAUCACCCUCAUCCCUACCACCAUGCAUUGAUCGUGAAGGUAGUGGGUAACGUCUACAG